rnacentral:rRNA from 1 species
UACGUAGGGUGCAAGCGUUAUCCGGAAUUAUUGGGCGUAAAGAGCUCGUAGGCGGUUUGUCGCGUCUGCUGUGAAAACUGGAGGCUCAACCUCCAGCCUGCAGUGGGUACGGGCAGACUAGAGUGCGGUAGGGGAGAUUGGAAUUCCUGGUGUAGCGGUGGAAUGCGCAGAUAUCAGGAGGAACACCGGUGGCGAAGGCGGGUCUCUGGGCCGAUACUGACGCUGAGGAGCGAAAGCGUGGGGAGCGAACAG